GUAUUGGUGAUUCAGUGGUAGAAGUCUAAUCUCCCACAUGGGAAAUCUGGGUUGGAUUCCAAGCCAGUGCA
rnacentral:tRNA from 1 species